AUUGAACGCUGGCGGCAUGCCUUACACAUGCAAGUCGAACGGUAACAGGUCUUCGGAUGCUGACAAGUGGCGAACGGGUGAGUAAUACAUCGGAACGUGCCUAGUAGUGGGGGAUAACUACUCGAAAGAGUGGCUAAUACCGCAUGAGAUCUACGGAUGAAAGCAGGGGAUCGCAAGACCUUGUGCUACUAGAGCGGCCGAUGGCAGAUGAGGUAGUUGGUGGGAUAAAAGCUUACCAAGCCGACGACCUGUAGCUGGUCUGAGAGGACGAUCAGCCACACUGGGACUGAGACACGGCCCAGACUCCUACGGGAGGCAGCAGUGGGGAAUUUUGGACAAUGGGCGAAAGCCUGAUCCAGCAAUGCCGCGUGCAGGAUGAAGGCCUUCGGGUUGUAAACUGCUUUUGUACGGAACGAAAAGCCCCGGGUUAAUACCCUGGGGUCAUGACGGUACCGUAAGAAUAAGCACCGGCUAACUACGUGCCAGCCGCCGCAGUAA
rnacentral:rRNA from 1 species